rnacentral:rRNA from 1 species
CCUACGGGAGGCUGCAGUGAGGAAUAUUGGUCAAUGGGCGGAAGCCUGAACCAGCCAAGUAGCGUGCGGGAUGAAGGCCCUACGGGUCGUAAACCGCUUUUGCACGGGGAUAACACCCUCCACUUGUGGAGGUCUGCAGGUACCGUGCGAAUAAGGGCCGGCUAAUUCCGUGCCAGCAGCCGCGGUAAUACGGAAGGCCCGAGCGUUAUCCGGAUUCAUUGGGCUUAAGGGGAGCGUAGGCGGGCGUUCAAGUCAGCUGUAAAAUCGCGCGGCUCAACCGCGCCCCGCAGUUGAAACUGGACGCAUUGAGUUCACAACAGGCAGGCGGAAUUCGUGGUGUAGCGGUGAAAUGCAUAGAUAUCACGAGGAACCCCGAUUGCGAAGGCAGCCUGCCGGGGUGUGACUGACGCUGAGGCUCGAAGGUGCGGGUAUCAAACAGGAUUAGAUACCCGAGUAGUC